GCUGAUGGGAAUGGGGGGCAUUUACAAGGACGGUCCCGAGGUUUCUUCGUGGGCCUCAUGAAGGGUCUUGAAGAGUAAGGGGCAGUGAAGCUGUGAUGUUACUGCAGGAAGGGAGUAGGGUGGUAUCCAGACGCGAAAGGGUUAAUGGGAGUUGUCCUCAUGACUGGAGGAGUAGGGGCCCCUCCUCCCACCAGAGGAAACCGGGGGUCUGCUGGUGGGAGUGAGGAGGCAGGGUUGAGAGGUGCAGCCAUCUGGAGAGAGACCUGGACUGGGCAUGAAGGGUCAGACACCCCUGGGCAGAGGGUGAGAUUAAGCCAGGGGCAGUUGGGGAAGGGGGCUCUUUCAGAAGAUGCCAUUGGGAGACAGUGCCCUGACUGGUAGACAUCCACCCACAGAAGGAGCUGGACCCUAGCUGCCCCAGUGGGCAAGGACACUUGAAGAUCAAAUCUGUUCCGGCCUGGCAGCCUCUCCCCAGCUGGGCAGGGGCCCCAGGCACCGUGAUGUGGAGUCAAGCCGCCUAUACCUCCCUUGGCUGCCCCAGGGCUGCUAGGAUCCAGCAAUGCCUGUGAGAAAACCU
rnacentral:sRNA from 1 species